AUGGACAUCACCUGAGGAUCUUGUUAAAAUGCAGAUUCCAGUUCAGCAGGUCUGGGGUGGAGAUCGGAGAUUCUGCAUUUCUAACAAAUUCCCAGGUGGUGUCUAU
rnacentral:pre_miRNA from 1 species